UGUAGAAGAAGGCGCUCUGUUGAGAUGAGACCAAAAACGCAACUUUUUGGCCAGAAUGCAAAAUCUUACGAGUGAAGAAAAACAAAUGAGACGGAGGCAGUCAAAACCCAGUUGUGACUCGGAAAACUGAUUUCUACAGCGCUCUCCAGUGUAGGUGAGCUUCAGCACGGCUGGCUAAGAGGUGCAGCAGAGGUGAAUCGGUCUUAUCCGAAAUCCCGGUGCAGGACACAAAGAGGAUAUUGAAAGAAUCCCGACCCUCAGGCUUGUGCCGGCCUGAUCCGUGUGGUGCGGAGGGGGGGGGGGAGGAAAAAGGCGAGGAACCGAGAGUGAUGAGUUGGUUCCUCUGGUGUAUCUGUCUCUCUCCAGAGCAUCAUGUGGCAAAUUGCUCUUGGUGCAAAGGGUCUGUUAGAAUGCGACUUAGGAGAGCCAGAGAGAACUCAUUUGACCAUGCCGCUGACGCCUUCAAACCAAUAUCCUCAUCUUCGCAUUCUGUCUUUAUCUCCGCUGAUCGCCUCAAGCUUGUCUGACCUUGGAGAGCAGAUAAAACAGCAGACAGAUAAGGAAGAAGGGGCCAGCGAAGGACCAAACAGAGUAAAAUUGCAAAAAA